GAUGAAGAACGCAGCGAAGUGCGAUAUGUAAUGUGAAUUGCAGAAUUCCGUGAAUCAUCGAAUCUUUGAACGCAAAUUGCACUCUUUGGUAUUCCGAAGAGUAUGCCUGUUUGAGGGUCAGUCAAAUAAAAAUCGGGGUUGUUGCUGCUGCCUUCGGUGGUGACGCUUCGGAACUGGGUCGUCUUUUCUUUCGGUUAAGUGACCUAAAAUUUCGGAUGAUUUUUCGAACGUAUUUAAUUUUUUUUACGUACGUUUGUAUAUCAAAUAUUAGAUGUGAUUAUUUUCAUGAUUCGCGUCUAUAAUUUUUCAUCAAAUGACCUCAAAUCAGGUAAGACUACCCGCUGAACUUAAGCAUAUCAAUAAGCGGAGGA
rnacentral:misc_RNA from 1 species